rnacentral:rRNA from 2 species
GAGUUUGAUCAUGGCUCAGAACGAACGCUGGCGGCAGGCUUAACACAUGCAAGUCGAGCGCACAGUUUACUGUGAGCGGCAGACGGGUGAGUAACGCGUGGGAAUCUACCUUGAGCUACGGGAUAACAGAGAGAAAUUUCUGCUAAUACCGUAUGUGGCCUUUGGGCGAAAGAUUUAUCGGCUUAAGAUGAGCCCGCGUUGGAUUAGCUGGUUGGUGGGGUAAAGGCCUACCAAGGCGACGAUCCAUAGCUGGUCUGAGAGGAUGAUCAGCCACACUGGGACUGAGACACGGCCCAGACUCCUACGGGAGGCAGCAGUGGGGAAUAUUGGACAAUGGGCGCAAGCCUGAUCCAGCCAUGCCGCGUGAGUGAAGAAGGCCUUAGGGUUGUAAAGCUCUUUCACCGGUGAAGAUAAUGACGGUAGCCGGAGAAGAAGCCCCGGCUAACUUCGUGCCAGCAGCCGCGGUAAUACGAAGGGGGCUAGCGUUUGUUCGGAUUUACUGGGGCGUAAAGCGCGCGUAGGCG